UCUAUUACUUCCAUUUUAGCUUUGAACAUUUUCCAAAACUGUUAUAAAAAAAAAAAAGAUGGAUGAAUCAAUCAGUAAUAAGGAAAGCCUUUUGCAAGAUAAAUCCUCUUCAAGAACCAAAAGGAAAUUACGUUUGAUAAUCUGUCUGUUGACUCUCUUCAGUCUCAUAAUUGCAGCUAUCAUCUCUGCUUCAAUAAUACUUAAACAAAAUACGGAGUCCAAAUCACUUUCCUUUAACCCAACAAACGCUAUACAUCAGUCUGUGAUCUCAUCAGCGAAGAUCCAUUAGUUAACUCAUGCUAUGGCUCUAUUGCCACACUUUAUUAUUCCUAUGAUGGCGAAAGCCCAAUCUUAUCUUGGUCAAACAGAAAUAAAAUUAACCCAUCACAGGUUUUUAUCCUUUCGCUUUUUGCUGCACGAAUCGAGCUUUCACUUGAAAAAACAAUCUCAGAGGUACACACUAAGCCCGAGACUAUUGGGGUACUGAGAAAUUGUCAAGGAAUGAUUGAAUUCUCUCUGAAAAAAACUCAAUGAAUCAGAAAUGAGUUUGGGUAUUGACCCAGAUGAGAAAAUAUUGGCAAUUAACAGAGUUGUUUGGGAUUUGCAACGCUGGAUUGGUGAAGCUAUGAGUCAAGUACAAAGGUGCAUUUAUUUAUUGAAGGAGAUUCCAUCAACGGUUACGGUUGAAAUAAGAGAGAGAAGUUAUGCAGCACAGGAAAACAUGAGGAAUAGCAGAGGAAUAUUGCGAAAUGUGGAUGACAUUUUCGACUUGUUUUAUCCCACAAUUGGAUCGGUAUUAGGCUCUUUAGUUUGGGAGUUUGAAUAUGGGCUUCCUGUUUGGCUCUUUUGCUUUGAGUAUUUGCUCUUAAUUUUUCUUUUAGCCCUGCUACUACGUAUAUAUUGAAUGAUUCAAUAUGUAACAGCAUGGUACGAUUCAUAUUAGCCAAUUUCACCUUGUUUGAAUUGAGAAUAACAAUCAAAAAAAGUUUCUCUUU